UCCCCGCAGCUCGAGUGGUGGUCGCUUUUAUUGAGCCUAAAACGUUCGUAGUCGGCCUUGUAAAUCCCUGGGUAAAUUGGGCCGCUUAACGGUUCAAAUUCCGGGGAGACUGCAAGGCUAGGGACCGGGCGAGGUCAGAGGUACUUUCGGGGUAGGAGUGGAAUCCUGUAAUCCCGAAGGGACCACCUGUGGCGAAAGCGUCUGACUUGAACGGCUCCGACGAUGAGGAACGAAGGCUAGGGGAGAAAACCGG
rnacentral:rRNA from 1 species